AGAGUUUGAUCCUGGCUCAGAGUGAACGCUGGCGGUGCGCCUAACACAUGCAAGUCGCGCGAGGAGCAAUCCUAGCGGCGAACGGCUGCGUAACACGUUGGUACAUACCCCGAACUCAGGGAUAACCCUCCGAAAGGAGGGCUAAUACCGGAUGGUCCCGUGAGGGUAAAGCUUCGGCGGUUCGGGAGUGGCCUGCGGCCUAUCAGAUAGUUGGUAAGGUAACGGCUUACCAAGUCUAUGACGGGUAGCUGAUCUGAGAGGAUGAUCAGCCAGAAUGGAACUGAGACACGGUCCAUACUCCUACGGGAGGCAGCAGUGAGGAAUCUUCCGCAAUGGGCGAAAGCCUGACGGAGCGACACCGCGUGAAGGAUGAAGCCCUUUCUGGGCGUAAACUUCUGUUCUGAGGGACGAAAUUUUGACGGUACCUCAG
rnacentral:rRNA from 1 species